CCUACGGGUGGCAGCAGUGGGGAAUAUUGCACAAUGGGCGCAAGCCUGAUGCAGCCAUGCCGCGUGUGUGAAGAAGGCCUUCGGGUUGUAAAGCACUUUCAGCGGGGAGGAAGGCGGUGAGGUUAAUAACCUCAUCGAUUGACGUUACCCGCAGAAGAAGCACCGGCUAACUCCGUGCCAGCAGCCGCGGUAAUACGGAGGGUGCAAGCGUUAAUCGGAAUUACUGGGCGUAAAGCGCACGCAGGCGGUCUGUCAAGUCGGAUGUGAAAUCCCCGGGCUCAACCUGGGAACUGCAUUCGAAACUGGCAGGCUAGAGUCUUGUAGAGGGGGGUAGAAUUCCAGGUGUAGCGGUGAAAUGCGUAGAGAUCUGGGGGAAUACCGGUGGCGAAGGCGGCCCCCUGGACAAAGACUGACGCUCAGGUGCGAAAGCGUGGGGAGCAAACAGGAUUAGAUACCCUAGUAGUC
rnacentral:rRNA from 1 species